rnacentral:rRNA from 1 species
UACAGAGGUCUCAAGCGUUGUUCGGAUUCAUUGGGCGUAAAGGGUGCGUAGGCGGCGCGGUAAGUCGGGUGUGAAAUUUCGGAGCUUAACUCCGAAACUGCAUUCGAUACUGCGGUGCUUGAGGACUGGAGAGGAGACUGGAAUUCAUGGUGUAGCAGUGAAAUGCGUAGAGAUCAUGAGGAAGACCAGUGGCGAAGGCGGGUCUCUGGACAGUUCCUGACGCUGAGGAGCGAAAGCCAGGGGAGCAAACGGG